rnacentral:tRNA from 1 species
GGAGAUGUGCCAGAGUGGCCGAAUGGGGCUCCCUGCUAAGGAGUUGUCUCGUAAGGGACCGCAGGUUCAAAUCCUGUCAUCUCCG